rnacentral:rRNA from 1 species
AACGCGUGAGUAACCUGCCUUACACAAGGGGAUAGCCUCUGGAAACGGAGAAUAAUACCCUAUGAAACUAUCUUAUCGCAUGAAAAGAUAGUCAAAGUGUUUUAGCGGUGUAAGAUGGACUCGCGUCUGAUUAGCUAGUUGGUGAGAUAACAGCCCACCAAGGCAACGAUCAGUAGCCGGCUUGAGAGAGUGUACGGCCACAUUGGGACUGAGACACGGCCCAG